rnacentral:rRNA from 1 species
CUUGACCUCGGAUCAGGUAGGGAUACCCGCUGAACUUAAGCAUAUCAAUAAGCGGAGGAAAAGAAACCAACAGGGAUUGCCCUAGUAACGGCGAGUGAAGCGGCAACAGCUCAAAUUUGAAAUCUGGCGUCUUCGGCGUCCGAGUUGUAAUUUGCAGAGGGCGCUUUGGCAUUGGCAGCGGUCCAAGUUCCUUGGAACAGGACGUCACAGAGGGUGAGAAUCCCGUACGUGGUCGCUAGCCUUUACCGUGUAAAGCCCCUUCGACGAGUCGAGUUGUUUGGGAAUGCAGCUCUAAAUGGGAGGUAAAUUUCUUCUAAAGCUAAAUACUGGCCAGAGACCGAUAGCGCACAAGUAGAGUGAUCGAAAGAUGAAAAGCACUUUGGAAAGAGAGUUAAAAAGCACGUGAAAUUGUUGAAAGGGAAGCGCUUGCAGCCAGACUUGCCUGUAGUUGCUCAUCCGGGUUUUUACCCGGUGCACUCUUCUAUAGGCAGGCCAGCAUCAGUUUGGGCGGUUGGAUAAAGGUCUCUGUCAUGUACCUCUCUUCGGGGAGAACUUAUAGGGGAGACGACAUGCAACCAGCCUGGACUGAGGUCCGCGCAUCUGCUAGGAUGCUGGCGUAAUGGCUGUAAGCGGCCCGUCUUGAAACACGGACCAAGGAGUCUAACAUCUAUGCGAGUGUUUGGGUGUCAAGCCCGAGCGCGUAAUGAAAGUGAACGGAGGUGGGAACCUUUCGGGGUGCACCAUCGACCGAUCCUGAUGUCUUCGGAUGGAUUUGAGUAAGAGCAUAGCUGUUGGGACCCGAAAGAUGGUGAACUAUGCUUGAAUAGGGUGAAGCCAGAGGAAACUCUGGUGGAGGCUCGCAGCGGUUCUGACGUGCAAAUCGAUCGUCAAAUUUGGGCAUAGGGGCGAAAGACUAAUCGAACUAUCUAGUAGCUGGUUCCUGCCG